rnacentral:lncRNA from 1 species
GCUUGAAUUCCACAGGUAUAGCUCAAAAUUUUCUUACACCCAUGGUCACCAUUGCUGCCGCAAACAUAAACAAUUAAUACACAUCUCAUUUCUUUUAUUUACUUGUGAUUUUAAGACCAAAAUACUUACCCAUAACUUAUCUAGCUCAAAAUCACCAUGGGUUCCAAGAUUGACCCACAAGCAUGCAUCUAUUUAUUUCAAUUCUUGGAGGACCUUUGCUACCACAAACAUUCUCACACAAUUACCAACUCAUUUCCUUAAGAAAUCACAACUAAAAUCAAAGUUCUACUUACUUUCCUUAGCUUGAAAUUUCUAAAUCGAACCACCAAAUCUCUUUUUCUUCUUUCUCCUUUCUUUCUUUCUUCAUUUCUUCCUUUCUCCCUUUCUCUCUUUGCUUCCAAGCCGAUUCUCUCUCUUUUUCUUUCCAAAGGUGCGAGUUUUCUCAAGGCAAAAGCCUUGAAAAUGGCUUUCACUUUCUCAUUUUGCCCACAC